UGAAAGGGCCCGGUAGGACCCGGUCCAACGAGGAGCCGUCUAGGUAAAACUGGUAACUGGGGCU
rnacentral:rRNA from 1 species